UCAUUUGAUCUUUUGUACUUUUUUAUCUUUUAUCUUGUUUUCAUCUUCGUCUCCUACUGUUUACAGAAUUAUUAUUCACCUACGUCACCAAUUCUACUUCUCAUCUUCUUUCGUUUCUCUGCCUUGCUCCCCCCCGAAAAAAAAACCUUCCUGUACUUAUUUUUCAUGUUUGUCUAUUCCUUUAUUAAGAGUCGUCCUCUUUACCGCCGCCCCAGGCCGCCCAGAGUCCUUGUUUUUCCCUAUUCCUUAAUACACACAAACUCAUCCGGUCUCAGCAUUGAAGAAGUAAAUAUGUGUUGUUUGGUGCCCCGUUCCCAAGAGUAUUAACAUCAAAGGCCGACAACAUACAAGGGCGCCACGCAUGUCGACAGUGUAAGACAGGUGUGAGACAGGUGCAGGUGGCGGUCACGUGGCAGGCGCCGUGAACCUCCUUCUUGCUCGGCGUUGAAUUCCGUUUUUGUGGCGGUGUUGGCGGGAGGGUGAAGCAGAAACACGGAAACCUUUAUGCCUUUAUUGACCGAGACUUGGCGAGCAGGAGUGGGUGGUUCUGCUCCGUGGUGGGUGUUGAAGGUGGUGGUGGUGGUGGUGGUAUUGUUAUUGUUCUUGUUGAUGGUGGUGGUAGUCUUCGUCAAGCAUCAGUGUUACGUUAGCCGUAGGGUUUUUUUGUUUU